AGACAGUGCUUCCCAGUUAGCCUGGGAAAACCCUGAGGAACUUCCAGAAAAUCUGAGAUUUGCUCUGCAAGCUAGUCUUGCCAAGAGCCCAUUCAAACCCAUUUCCAUUUCUUUCAAAUCGAGGCACCAAUCACAACCGUUGAGGUAGGC